GACGAACCGAGCGAACGUUGUUCGGAAUCACUGGGCUUAAAGGGCGCGUAGGCGGUUGUUCAAGUCCGGGGUGAAAUCCUCCAGCUCAACUGGAGAACUGCCUCGGAUACUGGGUGCCUCGAGGGUGGUAGGGGUAUGCGGAACUAUCGGUGGAGCGGUGAAAUGCGUUGAUAUCGAUAGGAACUCCGGUGGCGAAGGCGGCAUACUGGACCACAUCUGACGCUGAGGCGCGAAAGCCAGGGGAGCAAACGGG
rnacentral:rRNA from 1 species